rnacentral:rRNA from 1 species
AAGGUUUCCGUAGGUGAACCUGCGGAAGGAUCAUUACUGAAUAAACUUGGUGGGUUGCUGCUGGCUUCUUCGGAAUGCACUGUGCACACCUGUCAUCUUUAUCUUUCCACCUGUGCACUAUUUGUAGACUUGAACAACUAUCCUUCUCUGAGGCAACUCAGUUAUGGAGACUGCAGGCCACUUGACGGUGUCAGCUUUCUCUGAGUGUUCAGGCCUAUGUUUUUCACAUACACCAAAGAAUUCAAUAGAAUGUAACAUACAGGUCUUUGUACCUAUAAAACAUAUACAACUUUCAGCAACGGAUCUCUUGGCUCUCGCAUCGAUGAAGAACGCAGCGAAAUGCGAUAAGUAAUGUGAAUUGCAGAAUUCAGUGAAUCAUCGAAUCUUUGAACGCAUCUUGCGCUCCUUGGUAUUCCGAGGAGCAUGCCUGUUUGAGUGUCAUUAAAUUCUCAACCUCACCAGCUUUGUUGCCUGGUGUGGCUUGGAUGUGGGGGUUUGCAGGCUCUUGAGUCAGCUCCCCUGAAAUGUAUUAGUGGUGCCCUUGUGGAACCAACUAUUGGUGUGAUACAUAUCUACGCCAUUAGUUGCCCACCUUGUAUAGGGUGAUACUGCUUCUAACAGUCUCUCGCAGACAAUUGACUAUUUGACCUCAAAUCAGGUAGGACUA